rnacentral:rRNA from 1 species
GAGUUAGAUCCUGGCUCAGGACGAACGCUGGCGGUGCGCCUUAUGCAUGCAAGUCGAGCGAAGCUUUUCAGUAGUUUACUACAGAAAAUGACUGAGCGGCGAACGGGUGAGUAACGCGUGAGCAAUCUACCUUAGUUACAGGGAUAGCCCGAGGAAACUCGGAUUAAUACCUGAUAUUCUUUAUUUCUCGCAUGAGAAUAAAAGGAAAGGUCAGCCGAACUAAGAUGAGCUCGCGUUCUAUCAGCUAGUUGGUGAGGUAAAAGCUUACCAAGGCUACGACGGAUAGCUGGUCUGAGAGGACGAUCAGCCACACUGGGACUGAGACACGGCCCAGACUCCUACGGGAGGCUGCAGCAGGGAAUAUAGUGCAAUGAACGAAAGUUUGACACAGCGACACCGCGUGUGGGAUGACGGAUCUAGGUUUGUAAACCACUUUCAGGAGGGAAGAAAAUGACGGUACCUCCACAAGAAGCCCCGGCCAACUACGUGCCAGCAGCCGCGGUAAUACGUAGGGGGCGAGCGUUGUCCGGAUUUAUUGGGCGUAAAGAGCUCGUAGGCGGUUCACCAAGUCGGUCGUGAAAGUUCAGGGCUCAACCCUGAAAUGUCGAUCGAUACU